UACGGAGGGGGCUAGCGUUGUUCGGAUUUACUGGGCGUAAAGCGCACGUAGGCGGCUUUGCAAGUCAGAGGUGAAAGCCCGGGGCUCAACCCCGGAAUAGCCUUUGAGACUGCAUCGCUUGAACAUCGGAGAGGUAAGUGGAAUUCCGAGUGUAGAGGUGAAAUUCGUAGAUAUUCGGAAGAACACCAGUGGCGAAGGCGACUUACUGGACGAUUGUUGACGCUGAGGUGCGAAAGCGUGGGGAGCAAACAGG
rnacentral:rRNA from 1 species